rnacentral:siRNA from 1 species
GUUAUACAACGGGUGAAAUCCUA